GUGUCUUCUCCCCCACCCUCUUGCACGUGGACUUCAGGCUUCAUGUGCGCUGUGUCUUCAACGCCAGUGACUUCCUGCCCAUUCAGGCAUCCAUUUUCCCACCCCCAUCGCCUGCUCCUAUGACCCAGCCCGGCCCCCUGCGGCUUGAGCUGCGGAUUGCCAAAGACGAGACCUUCAGCUCGUACUAUGGGGAGGAUGACUAUCCCAUCGUGAGGCUGCUCCGAGAACCAGUCCAUGUGGAGGUCCGGCUUCUGCAGAGGACAGACCCCAACCUGGUCCUGCUGCUGCACCAGUGCUGGGGCGCUCCCAGUGCCAACCCCUUCCAGCAGCCCCAGUGGCCCAUCCUGUCAGACGGGUGAGUGCCCCCACACUCCCCCCACCUGCUCUGCCUCCUGUAAACAGCCUCUCUGACUUCUCUUCUCAGAUGCCCUUUCAAGGGCGACAGCUACAGAACCCAAAUGGUAGCCUUGGACGGGGCCACACCUUUCCAGUCGCACUACCAGCGAUUCACUGUUGCUACCUUCGCCCUCCUGGACUCAGGCUCCCAGAGAGCCCUCAGAGGACUGGUUUACUUGUUCUGCAGCACCUCUGCCUGCCACACCUCA
rnacentral:sRNA from 1 species